AGGCGUGACACGGGGUGCCACCGUGGCUGCGUGAGGCAGGUGCGGCGCCGGGAGGCGAUGGCUGAGAUGACACCCGUUGAACCUGAUCCAGUUAGCACUGGCGGAGGGAUGGUCGCGAGAACGCGUG
rnacentral:ncRNA from 2 species